rnacentral:lncRNA from 1 species
AUUAAUCGCGUUUAACGUUUUUACUUAAUCGUGAGGUCUUUCACCAAUUAGUGUAAUAAAUUGCCUAAAUGGUGCAACAACUGUCUAACCAGUACAAGAAAAUUCCUUCGUGCAAGAACUUUUUUGUUUAUAUUUGUAAUAUUGUUUCCUAAAUACUGUAAGUGGCCAAAAAAUAGUGUAAGAUUUUCUCUGUAUUUGUUUAUAAUAUGAAUGUAAAAGUGCAACAUCGUCGGAAAUAAUACUGUAAAAUAUUGGCUAAUAGUGUAAUACAGCUAAAAGCGGUGCAAGAAUAUAAUGAAUAUACAGAUAUAUUUACUAUAAGGCGUAACAAUGUAAAGAAAUGGAUCUCUUUAUUAAUAUACAAGCAAAUUAUACAUUGUCUUUGACGAAAACGCAACAUAUAAUACACGUUUUGCAUACAAUACGAUGUUCACAACAUCAACUGUAACUUUCGCAUCAACAUUAUUACUGAACAAAAUUAGGCCUUCAUUUUACAAAAGUACUGAAUCAUCAUCAAAGCUUGCCGCAAAUCCACGAGCACAUAACAACAUCUGAGGUUCCUCUAUCGGAAGAUGAAAUGGCGAAGAGGAGAGGGCUCGCUCGGAGGGAUAUGUCGGAGCUUUAUUUGCACUAGGCACUUUCGCAUUGACGUUUUGGCACUACAUUGUUCGUAAAGAGACAGUAUAGUCAGGAUAAAUUUAGAAUCUAUCGAUAAGAAUAAAGAUCUGGAAGAAUUUAAGAACCUGGUAUAGGGUGGUACCUCGUCGCAAAUAAAGCACAGUACUUCAGAUAGUGCGAAUCAAUCUUAACGCCUCCUUACUGGAUGAUACACUUACGACCGAGCCUCUUCUUCGUCGACGUCUCCUGCGCGUCUCUCCUCUCGUCUCGUGUACCUCCAUCAUCGCUGUUUCCUCGUCGCCGGUUGCCCAAGUGCCUGGAGAGUGCUUUUAUAGAAACCGAACAGGCAUUUGAGGAAUAGAGUCGAGGUACUCCUUUAUCCUACGUUGCGUAACCAUUUAGGUAACCGACUAUUAAUGCUCGCGAAAUAUUAGUUUUCGUCGUGAACAGAAAGUGGCUAAUGCUCACCUGAAGAGCCGUAUUACUGUAACAUCACUUUAAAAUAUCAAUAAAUCAUUCAAUCGUAUAAAAAUAGUGCAACAAUUGCUGUAAUAAUAGUGCAACGUUAAGUAACAAAAUGCAAAAAAAGUGCAAUACUGAGGAGAUAUUAGAGUAACAUUCGUCAUAACAGUGCAACGCCUUUACGAGUAAAAUUCGAAAUAGUCGCUUUUACUUUCCCCGAGGCAGCUUCGAUAUAACCGCCGGUGUCUCCUAUCCUCACAGAAGAGACGCUAUAACGUAGACGCUACGCUACGUACUUUUACCAGCAUUAAAUGCGCGCGUGUGUUUGCUGGAGCGUAUAUCCACGCUAUUCGCCAGACCGUGUGUUUGCUGUUCCAUGAAUCCAUUGCACUAUUAUUGUGACAUAGUUGCACCCUUAUGAACUUAGUUCCACUUUUUUACCCUACGUUGCACUAUUAUUGUGACAUAGUUACACCCUUAUGAAAUUAGUUCUAUAUUUUUCUGUCUGUACUGUCUUUUUCAUGGUAGAGCGGAGCUCCAAAUUGCCAAAAACAAAUGAAACAUUCCAGAUAGUGCGAAUCAACCUUAACGCCUCGUUGCUGGAUCGUUUUUUCUUAUCGCCUCGUUGCUGGAUCUUAACCUCCGAUCGAUCGACCCUCCUCCUCCUAGCAUUCUCCUUGCACUGGAACGACGCUACGGUUGCAUGUUAGAAGGUUUGUUCCACCGUUUCACCCGCCGUAGAGCCUUCGCCUUGCACUAUUAACCCUGGCGCGCGGAGGUAUAGCGUCGCGGCGGCGGCGGCAAUAAAGAGGCGGUGGAGCCUCCUCCUACUUCACACCGCUAUAUUCGACGUCACCAUGUCCUUUCAUUUGCACUAUUACCUUAAGAUUAAAUUAAAAAUUAACACCAAAUCUGAGAA